GACGAACGCUGGCGGCGUGCCUAACACAUGCAAGUCGAGCGGAGUCGAUCGACGGAAGCCUUCGGGCGGAAGAUGGUUGACUUAGCGGCGGAUGGGUGAGUAACGCGUGGGCAACCUGCCUCGAAGACCGGGAUAACAGUCCGAAAGGGCUGCUAAUACCGGAUGUGGUCAAGGAUCCGCAUGGAUUUUUGAUUAAAGGGGAAACCCGUUUCGAGAUGGGCCCGCGUCCUAUCAGCUAGUUGGUGAGGUAAAAGCUCACCAAGGCGACGACGGGUAGCCGGCCUGAGAGGGUGACCGGCCACACUGGAACUGAGACACGGUCCAGACUCCUACGGGGGGCAGCAGUGGGGAAUCUUCCACAAUGGGCGAAAGCCUGAUGGAGCGACGCCGCGUGAGCGAAGAAGGCCUCGGGUUGUAAAGCGUCUGUCUGGAGGGACGAAGGAAGUGACGGUACCUCCGGAGGAAGCCACGGCUAACUACGUG
rnacentral:rRNA from 1 species